AAACCGCCCAGAGGUAAACGGGUGGAUCCGCAAAGUCCGGCCCGCGGAAUUCAGCGUGGCGCGCAGACCUGGGCUGUCGGGGUUCGGGAUCCUUUGGACCCAGCCGCGGUGUCGUUCGGGUCUCCGCCGCGUGCACUUUCCGUGGGCAGAAAGCCACAACCGGUUCGGCGGCAGCUACAAGCUCGGAGUGUUGUAGGUGGGGGCGCUUGCGUCCCUACCAGCCUUUCGAUGCGAGCCGUUGUCUGACCGAGGAAAAGCCGCGUGCUUCGAGGCUACCCUCCCCUCCGGGUGAGUUCGACUGGGAGAGACUGGGCAACCGUGUCUCCCGACCGCUCGCCUGCGAUCGGCGUGGGGCUGGCCGGGUACGCUAUGUCAUGGUUGGUGGCAAGUCUGUCGGUAGUCCACCCGACCCGUCUUGAA
rnacentral:rRNA from 1 species